rnacentral:rRNA from 1 species
CCUACGGGCGGCUGCAGUGGGGAAUAUUGGACAAUGGGGGGAACCCUGAUCCAGCCAUGCCGCGUGUGUGAAGAAGGCCCUCGGGUUGUAAAGCACUUUCAGUGAGGAAGAACGCCUGGUGGUUAAUACCCAUCAGGAAAGACAUCACUCACAGAAGAAGCACCGGCUAACUCCGUGCCAGCAGCCGCGGUAAUACGGAGGGUGCGAGCGUUAAUCGGAAUUACUGGGCGUAAAGCGCGCGUAGGUGGCUUGAUAAGCCGGUUGUGAAAGCCCCGGGCUCAACCGGGGAACGGCAUCCGGAACUGUCAAGCUAGAGUGCAGGAGAGGAAGGUAGAAUUCCCGGUGUAGCGGUGAAAUGCGUAGAGAUCGGGAGGAAUACCAGUGGCGAAGGCGGCCUUCUGGACUGACACUGACACUGAGGUGCGAAAGCGUGGGUAGCAAACAGGAUUAGAUACCCUAGUAGUC